rnacentral:rRNA from 1 species
UACGAAGGGGGCUAGCGUUGCUCGGAAUCACUGGGCGUAAAGCGCACGUAGGCGGAUUGCUAAGUCAGGGGUGUAAUCCUGGAGCUCAACUCCAGAACUGCCUUUGAUACUGGCGAUCUUGAGUCCGGGAGAGGUGAGUGGAACUGCGAGUGUAGAGGUGAAAUUCGUAGAUAUUCGCAAGAACACCAGUGGCGAAGGCGGCUCACUGGCCCGGUACUGACGCUGAGGUGCGAAAGCGUGGGGAGCAAACAGG